CGGUCCCAGGAUAUUCGCUUUGGCAGAUGAUUAGAAUACGUGCUGACUUGAUAGCCGCAACUGUCCUGAUACGAAAGUACGCCGGCCUGGCUGGGCGUGGUGGCUCACGCCUGUAAUCCGAGGAUUUUGGGAGGCCGAGGCGGGCGGAUCACUUGAUGUCAGGAGUUUGAGACCAGCAUGUCCAACAUGGUGAAACCCCGUCUGUACUAAAAAUACAAUAAUUAGCCGAGCAUGAUGGCAUGUGCCUGUAAUCCCAGCUAUUUGGGAGGCUGAGGCAAGAGAAUCGCUUGAACCUGGAAGGCAGAGGUUGCAGUUACUUUCCCGACAUUGCACCACUGCACUCCAGCCUUGGCGACAAGAGCGAAAUUUUGUCUCAAAAAAGAAAGAAAGAAAGCACUCAGGCCUGUCCGAGGACCACAGCAGUGGACAUGGAGGGAGGAGGCUGGGGGUAGUUGAAUUGGUGUGAUAUGUCACUGAGUAAACAAAGGAAGGGACAGAAAGAGAACUGCAAAGUGUCAAAAGCCUGGACAACAGAGAGAAAGCAUCCUUGUCAUAUCAUUUAAAGCACCUGUUGGGCCAAAUAGGGAGCACCUUUCAGAAUCCAUGUGCACAAGAUCUCAGCAAUUCUACGUC
rnacentral:lncRNA from 1 species